GUUUGAAGAGACUUGGGCAUCAAAUUUUAAUAAAGUUGAAGACAAUACAAAUUACAUCAAAGAGACAACCAAGCAUCAUGCAAAAAAAAUAUUUAUUAACAAAUUGAAUGAUCUGUGUAGAUGGGCUCAGAAUGUAAAAUUGUACCCUUCUCACAUGUUUUACUGAUUAUGCAUAGACUUAAGUAGAGGUUUGCACACUCAAAAUUUACAUGUAGUUUAAACUCUAUAUGUGAUAAGUCUUGUGAAGCAGUGGGAAAACCAUAUUCAAACUACAUUUAACCACCAUAUAACAAGUCAGUUACAAGCUGUCUUUUUAGUUAAGUUUCAGUCUUUUUAUCAUUCAAAGGCUUGUUUAGGUAAGUACCAAAGAAACCAUUCCACUAAAGAAAAUUCUGAUUGCUGUUACACGUAAGAAAAAAUCAAAUGCUGUAUAUUUAUUUUUCCUGUCACAGGACUAUCUAUUUUGGGCUUGGGGGAGUUAUGGUCACACCAUUUAGGCACUGUUUUUAGACAUUGUUUUACUAAGUUUGCAUAACAAUGAAUUUGUCCUAAAUUAAACGUAAGUAUAGAAUAUAAUGUAUGGUAAGGUCUAGGUAACAAAUGGUUCAAUACAUAGUGGGCAUGGCCAAUUAGGUUUUUGGUGUAAAUUGUUUUUUCAAAUAAGCUGAUAUUGAUUACUUUGGUGGUUGCAUGUUCAAAAGUAGUUUGACUAAAAUUAAAGGAGGGAUGUGGCAUUCUGUAAAAGGGGGAAGGAGAGGGCGAGGUGGACACUCAAGAGCAGAAUCUUCUGCACGUAGCUGGAAAGAUGCACAAGGAUUGCCUCCAAGAAGGAAUCUACAUGACAAGGAAGCCACAUUUUCAAAUGAAUCAACUCAAGCUGUAGCAGCUGCCACAUUUUCAAAUGAAUCGACUCAAGCUGUAGCAGUUGAACCUGUACAAGAGUCCACGGUUGUAGCACAAGGUGGGGAGGGAAAUAUUAGUACAGAUAUAGUUCCAGCCAUUAAGAAACGGGGUCGAGGGCCUGCACGGGGCACACAAUUUGAUCGCCUCCGGAAGGUGGGUAAGAUUCCUUUAGUUAUAAAGGAUGGCCAUAGAGGUCCAUCGUGCGAGCAUGCCUCAAUCUUUACGGGUCGAGUGACUUGGAUCGUUAAAGUAUAUGCCGACAUGAGGCAUGCAAGUUGGAGUUGUGUACCUGAGGAGGAGAAGCAAGAGUUAAUUGAUCGUGUUAGGGCGGACUUUGUAUUGGACUGGACGAAAGACAACCAUAAAGAAAUGGUGAUAACGUAUCUUUCCGAUAAGUACAAUCACUAUCACUAUGAAUUGCACAAAGUAUAUUUAAAAUAUGCUUCGCAUGAGGAGGCCCUACGUGGUGGGACAUAAAUGGUGGACAAAGUCGUUUGGCAAUCGCAAUGCGAAAGGUGGGCUAGCGGAACAUUCAAGGAGAAGUCCCAAAGAAACAGUACGAAUCGUUCAAAACUGAAGGUAAAACAUACAGGCGGAAGGAAAUCCUUUAUUAGGAUUUUGGAAGAGAAGCGGGAGACGGCACCAAAUAUGGUCGCUUUCUACAAAGAAACUCAUUGGUCGAGGCUGAAAGGGAAAUUUAUCAACGCAACAACUGAAAACAAUUAUAAUCUAAUGGUGGAGAAAUUGAAAGAAAAAGACCCCGAGGAGGACGUUGAUGAAGUGGCUGCUGCUGUUUUCAAAGAUGUUUUGGGGUUUAGAUCUGGGUACGCCUAGGGGAUGGGGCACAUGGUCAUUCCCGACCCCUCUCCCUCAAUGAAUAAGAGCAAGGCAUUUGUUCGUCUAGCUGAAGAAAAUGAACGAAACAAGACUUGUGCAGAAAUGUACAAGAGUAAACUAGAUUCUCUUAUGAGUGAUAUGGCUGGAUUGAGGAGAGAAUUUUCUGAGUGUGAGAAAGGGAUAAACUUAAGGAUGUCUGAGUUGGAAGGAAAUACUGAGUCUCAUAGAGAGACUCAGCAAGAUGCUUAGGCAUCUGCUGAAUUUGGGUACAGCAGAAUUUUUUGUGGGCAUUUUUUGUGGAUUGUAUCAAUCCAAAGGCCAUGGCAGUUUGUAAGGGGAUAUAUUUUGAUGGGGCUUAGUGGAAAUAUUUUGUGGUAGGGUAUGUUAGAACAAGUUAUAGGAAAAAGAUGGUGGUUUUAAAACUUUUGUCUAGAGCAUGAGGAAGUGUGUGGGAUUUGACUCUGGGUUGGUUGCAUAUAUAAAUUUAGGAAAGAAUUUUAUUAUUUCAGAAGACUUCUAGUACUCAUCAAGGGGUGAUUAUCUUAUACUUUCUUCCAAGUUGGUUUGUAGACUUUGUGUAUUGAUUAUUUCAAACUUAAUACUAAAAUAACAAUAGUCUUCUUAUUCUCUGCAGGUGAAGUUUUAGGGCACCUACCUGCAUUAAAUCAGAUAUUGGAGCAAAAGGUUUUGCUGUUUUCCUUGCACAAGAGUAACUAUGAGCCCUUCAUUAUUUGUGGAUUAAGAGGCUUUGCAACCAACUAUGAAUGGAGUUGAAUUGGAGCACACAUGUUAUUGCAGUAAUAUGUUUAGAACAAGAAAUAUGUGUACAUGUUGGAGGAUUUUCUUAUGAACAUUACUGAUGUAGUUGGCUUACCUCCUAUAAUCCCCUAUUUGCAAACAUAUAUUGUAAAUCAGCAGGUGUUGAUUGACUGGUUAAUCCAGUUGAUAAAUGUGUAAAAGUAUUAUGAUAUAUA